CUGCUAUCGGUGUUUGACUAAGCCAUGCGAGUCAAAUGUUCUUCGUGAACAUGGCGUAAUGCUCAGUAACACGUGGAUAAUCUGCCCUCAGGUCCGGCAUAACCUCGGGAAACUGAGGAUAAUUCCGGAUAUCUCUUCUCUGCUGGAACCGCUUGAAGAGACAAAGAAUUUCGCCUGAGGAUGGGUCUGCGGCCUAUCAGGUUGUAGGGGGUGUAACGUACCCUCUAGCCGACAACGGGUACGGGUUGUGAGAGCAAGAGCCCGGAGAUGGAUUCUGAGACAUGAAUCCAGGCCCUACDGGGCGCACAGGCGCGAAAACUUUACAAUGCAGGAAACUGUGAUAAGGAGACACCGAGUGCUCGGAUCAAAUGCGGGCUGUCCACAUACCUAAAUCGUAUGUGUUAGCAAGGGCCGGGCAAGACCGGUGCCAGCCGCCGCGGUAAUACCGGUGGCCCGAGUGGUAGCCGCUUUUAUUGGGUCUAAAGGGUCCGUAGCCGGUUCGGUCAGUCCAUUGGGAAAUCCGGAUGCUCAACAUCCGGGCUUCCAGUGGAUACUGCCGAACUUGGGAUCGGGGGAGGUAAGAGGUACUACAGGGGUAGGAGUGAAAUCUUGUAAUCCUUGUGGGACCACCUGUGGCGAAGGCGUCUUACCAAAACGAGUCCGACGGGAGGGACGAAAGCUGGGGGCACGAACCGGAUUAGAUACCCGGGUAGUCCCAGCCGUAAACGAUGCUCGCUAGGUGUCAGGCAUGGCGUGACUGUGUCUGGUGCCGAAGGGAAGCCGUGAAGCGAGCCACCUGGGAAGUACGGCCGCAAGGCUGAAACUUAAAGGAAUCGGCGGGGGAGCACAACAACGGGUGGAGCCUGCGGUUUAAUUGGAUUCAACGCCGGAAAACUCACCAGGGGAGACAGCAAUAUGUAGGUCAAGCUGAAGACUUUACCUGAAUCGCUGAGAGGAGGUGCAUGGUCGUCGCCAGUUCGUACUGUGAAGCAUCCUGUUAAGUCAGGCAACGAGCGAGACCCGUGCCCACAGUUACCAGCGGCAUCUCCGGAUGGCCGGGUACUCUGUGGGGACCGCCGGUGUUAAAUCGGAGGAAGGUGCGGGCUACGGUAGAUCAGUAUGCCCCGAAUCUCUUGGGCUACACGCGGGCUACAAUGGACGGGACAAUGGGCAACUACACCGAAAGGUGAUUGUCAAUCUCAUAAACCCGUUCGAAGUUCGGAUCGAGGAUUGAAACCCAUCCUCGUGAAVGCUGGAAUCCGUAAGUAAAUCGCGUUUCCAACAUAGCGCGGUGAAUACGUCCCUGCUCCUUGCACACACCGCCCGUCAAACCACCCGAGUGGGGUAUGGGUGAGGGUAUGGACAUCGUGCCGUAUUCAAACCUGAAUUCCGCAAGGGGGGGUUAAGUCGUAACAAGGUAGCCGUAGGGGAAUCUGCGGCUGGAUCACCUCCU
rnacentral:rRNA from 1 species